GGGUAUACUUUAAUGGAUGGGAAAUGUUUUGUUUGCUUCACAAAUUUUCACUCUGCUAGUGACAUGCUAACAGUUUUCACCAUUUCUUUUGAAUUAUUUAGGGCAUGAAUUUCACUACAGACAAGCUGAGGUCUUUGGUUAGGAAGUGGCAUACCUUGAUUGAAGCUUACGUGGAUGUCAAGACCACUGAUAACUUCACAUUGAGGUUGUUCUGCAUUGGAUUCACCAAGAGACUUCCAAACCAGGUUAAGAGGACUUGCUACGCACAGACCAGCCAGAUUAGACAGGUAAUCGAUGAUAUGAGGUGUAACGUUGUUCAGUUUGUACUUGUUUGCUUUCUAUCUAAAUAAUCUGUACUAAUAUUACAAUAGUGUCUUCUCUAUUUUAUUUAGUAUUUGAGUUCGACAAUAUCUCAUAUUUUUUCAAUGAAAAAAAAAUCUUAUUUUUAUUGACACAAUUUUUUUGAAUCUUCUGUUUUGACAGAUUCGCCGCAAGAUGAGGGAGAUCAUGGUUGCUCAGGCAGCAUCUUGUGAUCUUAAGAGCUUGGUCGAAAAGUUCAUUGCUGAAGUGAUUGGAAGAGAGAUUGAGAAGGCAACGUCAAGCAUAUACCCCUUACAAAAUGUGUUCAUUCGCAAAGUGAAGAUCCUGAAAGCUCCCAAGUUUGAUCUUGGAAAAUUGAUGGAGGUUUGGCCUCUCUUUCUCUAUCCCUCCUACCCCUUGGUGUCUGCUCCUGAUUUAGUUAGUGUGAAAAUCUAUCGAACUGUGGAUGGGGAUACUGCUUGGAUCAUGUAUGCAUGUCAAGAUAUAUCUUUUGCAUUUUCUUGGUGUUUAAUUAAGCGCAAAUUCUAUCAUAUAUUUUCAGCAUUGAUUGAUAUUUAGUGAUCGUUUGUUGUCUCCGCUUGUCUGUGCAUGUGUCUCAAAAUACCCUUUACCAAUUGUGAUGUGAUAUUUUCUGUAGGUUCACGGUGAUUACUCGGAAGAUGUUGGUGUGAAGGUGGAUAGGCCAGCUGAUGAGCCCAUGCCUGAAGCACCAACUGAAGUGAUUGGAGCUUGAACGUGAAUGAAGAAAUUUUUCUAGUUUUGUUUUUCACUACUAUUCUGAUCUGGGCAGUUUUGUUUGUUAUGAAUUCAUCAUAUAUGAAUGUUUCAAGUUGUUUGCAGAUUUUAAAUAUUCUAGCUGAGAUGGUUACUGUUGUUUCUAUGGUAAGAACAUGUGCUUUCUUCUUGCUUUAUUCUAGUGGACUAGAUUCAUGACAUUAUCCAAAAUUUCGUCAAAUUAAAGAUGCAUUUCUCACUUCAUUUUGGUCGAAAUAACUGCGGCUAAAAGUGUCUAUCUCAUUAAUAUUUAUAUGUUAUUCAAAUUAUAAAAAUGUUUAAAGUUCACUCUUGUUUAUGUUUUUCAAAUAUAUGUUCAAUGACUCGAGUAGAUUUAGUUUAAAUUUUGUUGAAGGCAUAAUGCAAAUGGGUUUAUCAAUUGAAUCCACUAAUACCCUUGCAAAUAUUUGGUUAUGGUAGUUUUUUAAAAUAAUUUAGUAGAAGUAGUAAAUUUUUUGUUCACUACGUUGAUAUGAUAAGCAAAUUGAUGCUUUCACAUUGUCCGUAAUAAAUCACACCCUACUUGUUAAUUUGGCCUAUCAAAAUUGGAAAAAUGCCAGAGGUAGUAAAGAAUAUCUCAUCAAUUUAUUAUUAAUUCAUUUAUAUUGAGGAGCUCAUUAUAUAAUUACUUAUUAAUUCAUUUCACCAUUAAUUAAUAGAUGUCACUUCACUUAUAAAUAUAAAGAUUUUGAUAGUAUAUUACUCCUAAAUUCAACCAAGAAAAACGAUGCUCCUAUAUUUGAUUCAUUUUUUAUUGGUUUUUUAAACAUAAUUUGAUGAGUACUAGUUAUUUUCAAACAUAAUCUAAUUUUCUUAUAUUUUAAUUUUACAAACAUUUCUAAGCUAAAUAUGUAAAUAUGAACAAAUGAAAAAAUUCAUACACAAUAUUGCAUUACUUUCCAAAUAUUUUUUUUCUUUGGAAUAUCACUUUCUCAAAUUACUUUAAUAAAAGAAAACAAAUGAUUAGAUAGGAAUUGUCUUCAAAAUAGAAAUUUUCAGAUUUUGUAAUUGAAAAAAAAAAUCUUUAGGAAAAGAAACCCACAAUUUAAUGAAAAAAUUUCAAGUAUUUUUAGAGAGUGUGGUUCAACAAUCAUAAUAAUUUACGCACCCACAUGACAAAUUAUUUAAGGCAAACACUACCUUACAAUCAAUGUAUGGUACAUCCCUCACUCAUGAACAGUGUAUAAGUGGGACUCAUUCACUAUUCAUGUGAGGGAUAUACCAUAUAUUAAUUGUAAGGUAGUGGGAUCCAUUAUUUAAAUGUUUGAGACCACCAAGGAUCUUUUGUCUGCUAACAUGGGUCCCAACAAAAUCCACUUCAAUCUGACGUGGCAUCAAAGCCCCACCCAAAUACACUAAAAUUUUGAUGACGUGGCACGUACAUGAUUUAGGGAUGGCAAAAAUCCCCGCGGCCGUGGGGACAGGUACCCUCGGAGAUUUUUCAUAUUCGGAGAGGGUACAAGCAUAACUUCAUAUCUAAUUUUUUAUUCGGGAAAAGGACGGGAAAAUUUUUGAAAUUUUUUUUUACCCAAUUUCUUAUUCGGGGAGGGGACGAGGAUGAGCAAAAUAUUUAUAUUAUUAAACUUUUAGGCCUAAUUAACUAAUUAAAGUCCUAAAUUUUUAUUUAGGACAUUAAAAAGACCGGAUAGAUUCUAUUAGCUCAAAAAUUUUGUUUUAAUUUUAAUAUUCAUUAAAUAUUUUAAACUUAAAUCUAUUUUUUAUUUAUUUUUAUAUAUUAUAAUUACCCACAGCAAAUUAAAAUUUUAAUAUCUAAUAUAAUUUAAUCUAAUAUUUGCUCUUGAUUUACUCCGACUUAAUUAUUGUACUGUAAAGGGAAUAGUCUACAUUUAUAAAGUGCCCACGCCACCAUUAAAAAAAUUAAUUUUGAAUCUAAAUUCGAUUUUAUUUGUAACAAUUUUGUAUUAGACUAUUAAUUUAUUCAUGAUAAUUUGUAAAAGAAGUUUGCAUUCCUUGCAUGCUGCGUUACUUACUAAUUUAAUGUAUGUGACUUUGGUAAUAGAUAUUAAUGUAAGAUAUUUUUCGUAAUUUACUUUUAUUUAAAUUUUUUAUUUUAAUAUGAUUAACUCAAAUCGAAAAUAAAAAUAUAUAUUAGUUAUUCGGAGAUCGAAAACUCUCGAAAAUCUCCUAUUAUUAUUUGAAGAGGGAAUAAAAAUUUUCUUAAAUAAUUUUAACGGAGACAGAGAAUGAGACGGGGACAUACGCAAAAUUUCAUGGAUGGAUGCGGGAAGGGUGGUCCCCCACCCCCAAUUGCCAUCCCUAACAUGAUUGGUGGGGAAUCUAGUCAAUAGCCACAUUUAUGCGGGGAAAUAAGGGGUUUUUAAUUAAAUACCAUGUACCGUACAUCCGCCUUGGCCGUACAGCAGGUUUUAAAAUUAUUUAAAUACCCCCUCCCUUUUUAGUUUUCAUGGAUACCCUAACAAAUGUGAGCAAAGUCGGAAAUACCCUUAAUGAAUGCAUCAAAUGCACUUAAUGAAUGAUCUUCAUAUUUCUUUCCUCAUUUCUUUCACCUAAAUCUAUUUUUGCUGCCGAUUCUUUCAAAAUCUCUUAGAAUCUCUCAAAAUCUCUCAUAACUUCUUACACAAAUACAAUUAUGUAUUCAUUUCUUUAACACCCACUCUUUCUUUAAAGGUGCAUUGUUUAUUAAACAACUCAAUAAGAUAUGUUAAUGUUGUUGGGUUUUAAAUUUUUUAAUUUUUAGGAAAAUUUAGAAAUUUUCCUCACAUUACAAUGUUUUAUUUUCACCAUUUUUUCUUAUACGUAGAAAUAUAUGCAAUGUAGAUUAUUUAACUAUUUUUUUCAGCAAUAUAACUUAUUUAUGGCGAAAAUGUUUCGAGUCGUGCAUUCUUUUGAUACCGUGUACGUCAUAUAGUUAGUCAUGUAGGUCGUGUAAGUGAUAUAGUCAUGUAAGUCGUGUAGGUCAUGUAAGAAAUAUAGUCGUGUAAGUCGUGUAAGUAAUAUAGUCGUGUAGGUCAUGUAGGUCGUGUAGUUACUUGUAUAUGAAAUUUAAUAUUAUUGUUUUUAUUGUAUCAUCAGAUAUGGUUUUGUUACGUGUGCAUAUUAUCUUCAAUGGUGAAUGAAUUGAGUAAAAUGACGAGUAUAAGUUCAAAGGUUCAAAGGCUAAAGGGAUAAUGAUACCACGAUCGACAACAUAUGCCGAAUUGGUGGAGAAGAUAGCUGAAGUUAUUGAUAUAGUACCACGAUCGACAACAUAUGCCGCGGAUUGAGCAAAAUGACGAGUAUAAGUUCAAAGGUUCAAAGGCUAAAGGGAUAAUGAUACCACGAUCGACAACAUAUGCCGCAUUGGUGGAGAAGAUAGCUGAAGUUAUUGAUAUAGAUACUUCGGAAUUCGAAAUCACAAUGAAGUUCAAACUUAAGACAUCUGAUCCUAUGCCACCAGUUACAAUUCAACCAAUGAUGAUGUGGAAUUUUUUUAGAUCCCAAUUUAAUUUCACUUCUUUUUUUAAUAAUUUUCAUUGACAUUUUCUGCAUAGCAGCAAAUAUAAAUUCUUAGCACAAAUUAAGUCUUUAAAGAACUAAAUUAAUCUAAUGAUUAAUGAAAAAAUUCGUGUAAUUUUAAAGUUGCAAUUAAACAUAUUACAGCCAUUUAAAAAGUUUUUUUCUUUUUUUCUUAUCUUCAAAGUGCUUUCUUCCUCUGGCCAAGCAUACAAGCAUACAUGAGGAAUGCAUGCAUAUAAUUAAUCCAUGAAAUCAAUUAAGAAAAAAAAAUAUCAGCUAUAGGAAAUUAAUGUAAUGUUAUACACAUAAGAACACCAUUCGCAGUGAUACAAAAUUUUCACUCAUAACUAGACAUAUCAUAACUUACCAUGACUUAUAAUUGGAAAUUAAGAAUCUCUCUAAUUAAUAACAUUUCACAAGGUAAAGGUAUAUGCACAAUUCCAAUUUAUUGUGAGCCUAAUUAAACUAAAUGUAAUGUGCAGAUUCUAUUGACAAGAAACAAAAUGUGGAAUUGAAGGUCGUGUAAUUGUGUAAUACAAGAAAAUCGUAUAAUUAUAUAAUACAUGAAGGUCGUAUAAACGUGCAAUACAUGAAGGUCGUGUAAUCGUGCAAUACAUGAAGGUCGUGUAAUCGUGCAAUACAUAAAGGUCGUGUAAACAACCUUGAAUCUUACAUAACCUUACAGAACCAAAUCUUGUGUUACAUAACAAAUUUAUAAUCAGCACAAUCCAUUAAUUUUUCACAAUUUGCAUGCAGCAAAACAACUAGAAAUUUAUUUUCGAAUAUGUUAUGAGAGACCCACAACUAAUUAAUCUAUUUUUUCAAUAUAAAACCCUAACUUUUUGUUUUUUUCCCUUGAAUAUUAACAAGAAAACUAAUUACAUGGAAUUACUUGUCUCAACUAGUUAAAUUCUGACAAUUUUGCAGUAAAUGAUCAACUCUCUUCGGCGAUUAUGUAGUGACGAACUAUGCUUCACUUUCUCAGUUGUGGCAGCUUCCCCUUCUCAGGCUUAGUUUGCUCGUGUUGAAGUUUGAUUUACCAUGUAUGGAGAAUGAAUGUUUGUUUUGGUAGAGGUGAUGCCGGUGAGGGAAUUGCAGUGUUUGUUUGUUUGAGUUUGAUAAUGGAGGGAAUUGCAGCAGAUGAGUGUUUGUUUGCUUCAGUAGAGAAGGGAGAGGUGCUGUCCGUUGAGUUGAAAUGUUUUAAAAUGAGGAUAGCUUAAUAAUUUUUUAUCAAUUUUUAAAGGAUAUCGAUGGAAAUUUUGACAAAAACAGAUUUUAAGAUUUUAGGGUAUUAAGAUAAUUUUUGAAGUACGGAGGUGUACCAGGCGCAAUUGGCACGGGAAAUAACUCUCUGUUCUCUGUCUGUUUCUUUCUUGUUGUAGCGGUUUCGUGUGAAUGCUGAGAGCCCAACUAGUACUACAAAAUUUUGAAGUUUUGAGGCAUCUUUACUUCACUUUUAUCAAAAUGUAAUUACCCACUUCGUUAAUUUCUAGGGUUUCAUGUUAAUUUUGACUCAGGGUUUCUAUCUGCUUUUCACCUUUUUAGCGAAUAAACGUUUGAACUUUAUUUGAUUAGUUGUGUGUUUUGGGCAUGUUUUGUGAAAAUUCUUCUGGGUUUGCAGGUCUAUUUAUUUUCUCUCUGUUUUGCUGCUGGGAAGAUUUAAAGCUUGGAAUGGAAAGGAGAAGUCCUUUUUUUUUUCCUUUAAUAAGUGUUGAAAUAGGAAUAUUGACUGAACGUUAGGCUGUGUAAUGCGUGCAUUUAAGUAAUGGCAAUUUCUUUAAUUUUUUUAUGCGUUACGGGUAGCCUAAUAAUCAGUUUCAUUAGGCUUAAGGGGUUGUUUUCUUGGGACAUAUGUAUCGAGAUUAGCAAAUUUGAUAUUUGUCUAAAGCUGUAAUUUUCACUUAAUUUAAGCAAAAAGUGUGAUUUUGUUUAUCUUCAGUUCUGUUGUAAGCAAGGAAAAGUGUUUCAAUUCAUGUUUUCUUUUCUUUUACUUGCCUUUUUCGGUCCUUUGGUAGAUUCUAUGAAAUUUUUAUUAACUGCAAUGGUUUGGAAAUCAUUAGCUUUGUUCUUUUGCUUUUCGGUUGGUUUAGUACUACAGUUUCUUAUAUUCAGUUUGACUUUCCCAGGUCAUGGCGGGGAACAAGAUUAUAGCAAUUUGUCAGUUGGGUGGUGAAUUUGAGACUGGCGAGGAUGGUUCAUUGUUAAAUAAGGGUGGUGACGCCGGACGCGCAUGCCAUUGAUGUUGAUGACCAAAUGAAGUUCAAUGAUUUUAAGACAGAAGUGGCUGAGAUGUUUAACUGUAGUUUUAAUACGGUUUCGCUCAAGUACUUCCUCCCAGGUAACAAGAAAACUCUAAUAACAAUCUCCAAUGAUAAGGACCUGCAGAGGAUGAUUAAAUUUAACUGGGAUUCUGUCACUACCGAUGUUUUUGUUAUAUUGGAAGAAAUUGUCGAGCGUGAUGUCUCGAACAUGCCUGCCAGUAGGUAGUUUUCUCUAUGUCUGGGCUGACAUUUUGAAUCAUAUUUGGAUCAGUCACUAUAAGCUUGGUAAUCCUUGAUUUUACAGAUCGAGCAGAACAACUCAGUCAGAAGCAGUGCCUCUGGUUAAUGUUGUUGAAGACAUGGUCGAUGGUAACAUCAUCCCACUUGGUGCGGCUAUUGAUGUCGAAGUCGAUUCCAACCGUAUUGAUGUGAACAUUGAUGAUACAAAGAUCAAUCUCCCAGCUGAAAUAUCGCCCAUUCUUCCUAUUGUUGGUUCCAAUGAUGAGGAACAUGUUAAAGCUACAUCUGGGCUGGGUGCAAAUACUACCUCUUCCGCUAGCUGUUCAAUAUUUGGUUCGUCAACUUCUAUGGCAAAACCAUUUGGUUCAGUGCCUUCAUUGGGAUUAAUUUUUUCUACUUCAUCAUCAGAAGCCAACUCAAUUAGCUCAAGCAGUGGUACUAUGAGCAAUGUGUCAGGUGCCUGUUUGCAAAGCCCUAAUACUUCAGUAUUUGGUUCCACAUUUAACAUUACACCUGCUGGUUCAGCUUUUGAUCAGCAAGCCAUGUCACCUCCAUCUAGCUUUGUGUUCGGUUCAACCCCUUCGGCAGGAGCCAAUUCGUUCCAAUUGGGAAGCCAACAGAAUCUGGCGACUACCUCCUCAUUGGCCACUGGCGUUAAUGACUUCCCGUUGGGCACUGGUGGUUAUGACAAAGCCCCAACAGAGAAUGAAAGUCUGUAAACAAUGGAAGAAGUAAUUCAUCAAAUCUCAUUUCAAUUGGUAAUUUGGUUUCCAUGAGGAGGCGGUUAUUUGCAAUUGCUGGAAAGAUGAUUUAAUAGAGAAGAUUGACAGCAUGAUUGGUCAGAGCGGUGAUUGUUUGGUGCUGGCAAAAAUAGUCAGUCGUGUCAGGCUCUGUUAAUAUGCCUGAGAAAAAUAGUGGGAAGAUAUUUUUCUUAUCCAUAAAAGUUGCAAUCUUUACAUUAUAUACUAGUCUGACUAGGCUAUAUAAGGAAGCUAUAGGAAACUAGGAAAAAUAAGCUAUACAAGGAAAGGAAAUAAAUAUAUGCUAUACAAGGAAAAAAUAAAUACAUGUGCACAAAAUUAGGCUAUAAUCUCUGACUUUCAACAAUGCCAAUGUCUAAUCUGUUCUCUCCUUUCUUCUGGUGGGUGAGUUUUUUAGUUACCCUGCCUGAGUUGUCACAAUUUUGUAUUAAUCUUCAUUACUUCAUAGGAAAUCCAAGAACGUAUGUGGUGUAUUUUAGUUUAUGAUAGGGUUUUAGGUUGGGCGGUUGUAUCGUAGAUCCUGUCUCGCUGUACUUGUGUGAUAUGUAACAUGAAAGCAAUGUAAUGAAUCUUAUGGUCAGUCUUCCUUUUGAUUUUUAAUUAAAAUCUCAUACUUAUUGAGGCAUUCACCAACAAAAUGUCUAUGGUGGAAAGAUGUUACUUAUCUGCAUUUUGAAAUUGCCUUUAGUAAGGAGUUGAUUUAAUGGCUUGUCCACGUAUGUAGAGGAGUAGAAUUAAAAUUUUAUUGGAUAUUUGUUGGCUUAUGUAUGUAGUUUAAAUUCUUUUACCUUUUGACAUAUGUACUUGUUUUAUACAUGCAGCGGUGGUGUUCUUUAGUGUGAAGCAUGAGGCCAACCAACUAGAUUAUACUUCAUGGAAACCAUAGAUAUAUAUUUAUUCAUACAUUUUAAUUGCUCAAGUCUUUUUAACAGAUUGCAUGAGAAAGACUCAAACACAGAUAUCACUAGGUGACAUUGGCAAUGAAGAGCAUGCCUACAGGAAAAUCAGAUUGAGAGCUGAGGAUGUCCAAGAGAGGAAUGUUUUGACUCCGUCGAAGGGAAGAAUAUUUUGACUAACUUCUGGAUAUGGUUUAAUGGAUGGGAAAUGUUUUGUUUGCUUUCACAAAUUUUCACUCUGCUCGUGGCAUGUUAGCAAUUUUCACCGUUUCUUUUGAAUUAUUUGGGGCAUGGAUUUCACUACAGACAAGCUGAGGUCUUUGGUUGGGAAGUGGCAUACCUUGAUUGAAGCUUAUGUGGAUGUCCAGACCACUGAUAACUUCCCAUUGAGGUUGUUCUGCAUUGGAUUCACCAAGAGACUUCCAAACCAGGUUAGGA
rnacentral:lncRNA from 1 species